rnacentral:rRNA from 1 species
CCUACGGGUGACAGCAGUGAGGAAUAUUGGUCAAUGGACGAGAGUCUGAACCAGCCAAGUAGCGUGAAGGAUGACUGCCCUAUGGGUUGUAAACUUCUUUUAUAUGGGAAUAAAACAGGGUAUGCAUACCCUCUUGUAUGUACCAUAUGAAUAAGGAUCGGCUAACUCCGUGCCAGCAGCCGCGGUAAUACGGAGGUUCCGAGCGUUAUCCGGAUUUCUUGGGUGUAAAGGGAGCGUAGGUGGAUUGUUAAGUCAGUUGUGAAAGUUUGCGGCUGAACCGUAAAAUUGCAGUUGAAACUGGCAGUCUUGAGUACAGUAGAGGCAGGCGGAAUUCGUAGUGUAGCGGUGAAAUGCUUAGAUAGUACGAAGAACUCCGAUGGCGAAGGCAGCCCACUGGACUGCAACUGACACUGAGGCUCGAAAGUGUGGGUAUCAAACAGGAUUAGAUACCCUUGUAGUC